rnacentral:rRNA from 1 species
UACAGAGGGGGCAAGCGUUGUUCGGAAUUACUGGGCGUAAAGGGCGCGUAGGCGGCCUUCUAAGUCGAACGUGAAAUCCCCGGGCUCAACCCGGGAACUGCGUCCGAUACUGGAAGGCUUGAAUCCGGGAGAGGGAUGCGGAAUUCCAGGUGUAGCGGUGAAAUGCGUAGAUAUCUGGAGGAACACCGGUGGCGAAGGCGGCAUCCUGGACCGGCAUUGACGCUGAGGCGCGAAGGUCAGGGGAGCAAACGGG